AUUCUACUCCCUCCGUUGCACAAUACAUGCCUUCUAUUUGUCAAAAUAUAUAUGUAUCUAGACAUGUUUUAGUAUAUAGGCACAUCCAUUUUUGGACAAAUGGAAGUCAAGUAUUUUGGAAUGGAGGGAGUACACA
rfam:Triticum aestivum genome assembly, contig: Triticum_aestivum_CS42_TGACv1_scaffold_594880_7BS